UCUGUGCGACGCUUUGCUGGGGAGCGCCAAGUUAGAGAGCUCUUCUCUGCCCUGGCCUGUUGCUGGUCCUCCCACAACUUAAUGAGAUGAGAAACAAGGUUUGCCUAUUGAACUUGGGCUCAAACUGACUGAGGGAAAUAGGAGCUGAAAUGAGCAGCGUUGCACACAGACCAGGAACAUGCAGGCAUGGAACGAGUUGCAAAUUGGCCUCUAUGGAUGCAGGAUGCAAACAGAGCUGCAAGUGGUCUGACUGACAAUAGCAACAUAGCAUGAAGGAACAGAGCGCUGAGUAUGCACGGCCGUGGCUACUGUGUUCCUUUUGAUGAGUGCACUGUAUGCUGGUUGCUUUGCUUUGAGUUUGUUGGGAAAAAAAAUUCAUUAAAAUCCUUUUGCUGCUCCUUUCCUGAGACAGAGCUGGGGAGGGAUGUGGAGGAGCAACGUCCCCUUGUACUAUCUCCCAGAAGUUACUGCCACAGAUGGUGUCUUGGCUGCUGGUUACAGCAUCAGAAAUGGCCGCAGCCUUCUGCAAAAGUAGUUUAAAAAUAGACUUGUUUGGUUAUGCUUGUUCCCUUAAAGGGACACUGUCAGUUUGAUUUAGUUCCAGAAUUUUGGCUUGGUUGCUGUCAGCUAUGCUGUCUCUUCCCAAUUGCCAGCCAAAUUGGCCAGCUUUGCAAUGUAUUUGAUGCUGUUUUACAUAUGGACAAAUAUGCUUUGAACAUAAAGGAAUAAAGU